rnacentral:rRNA from 1 species
AGUGAACGCUGGCGGUAGGCCUAACACAUGCAAGUCGAACGGCAGCACAGUAAGAGCUUGCUCUUACGGGUGGCGAGUGGCGGACGGGUGAGGAAUACAUCGGAAUCUACUUUUUCGUGGGGGAUAACGUAGGGAAACUUGCGCUAAUACCGCAUACGACCUACGGGUGAAAGCAGGGGAUCUUCGGACCUUGCGCGAUUGAAUGAGCCGAUGUCGGAUUAGCUAGUUGGCGGGGUAAAGGCCCACCAAGGCGACGAUCCGUAGCUGGUCUGAGAGGAUGAUCAGCCACACUGGAACUGAGACACGGUCCAGACUCCUACGGGAGGCAGCAGUGGGGAAUAUUGGACAAUGGGCGCAAGCCUGAUCCAGCCAUACCGCGCGGGUGAAGAAGGCCUUCGGGUUGUAAAGCCCUUUUGUUGGGAAAGAAAAGCAGCAGGUUAAUACCCCGCUGUUCUGACGGUACCCAAAGAAUAAGCACCGGCUAACUUCGUG